rnacentral:lncRNA from 1 species
CUGAGAUAUUUGUUCAGCGAUUCUUUAUGACUGAUCCAUUCAGGAGUCACAGAUCUUCCCUGCCUUCUGACCUGCCUGUAACAAUGCUGGCUUGUUUACUGUAGUAGGAUGUUCACUUGACUUUUGUGAAGUCUUUUUCAAACAGUAAUCUUGCAACACUGGGGAAAGCGGUAUAGAGCCCCACAGGUCUGUGAUGCUUCUGAGGUGCUGUGACUCUCAACAGAAGAGACAAAAAAAACCCCAAAAAAACCCAAAAGGGAAAGACAAAGAAGGGGAGAAAAUUUUCUAUUUACAUGCUUCAAAAUGUCAGUAG